rnacentral:rRNA from 1 species
UACAGAGGGUGCGAGCGUUAAUCGGAAUUACUGGGCGUAAAGCGCACGUAGUCGGCUUUGCAAGCCGGUUGUGGAAAUCCCCCGGGCUCAACCUGGGAACUGCAUCCGGGACUGCAUUGCUAGAGUAUGGGAGAGGGAAGCGGAAUUUCUGGUGUAGCAGUGAAAUGCGUAGAUAUCAGAAGGAACAUCAGUGGCGAAGGCGGCUUCCUGGACCAAUACUGACGAUCAGGUGCGAAAGCGUGGGGAGCAAACAGG